rnacentral:rRNA from 1 species
AUUGAACGCUGGCGGCAGGCCUAACACAUGCAAGUCGAGCGGAGCGGCGGACGGGUGAGUAAUGCCUGGGAAGAGGCCUGGUAGUGGGGGAUCAAGUCCGGAAACGGGCGCUAAUAACGCAUCCUAUCAGCUGAACCUAGUGCGGAUUAGCUAGUUGGUGGGGUAAAGGCCUACCAAGGCGACGAUCCGUAACUGGUCUGAGAGGAUGAUCAGUCACACUGGAACUGAGACACGGUCCAGACUCCUACGGGAGGCAGCAGUGGGGAAUAUUGGACAAUGGGCGAAAGCCUGAUCCAGCCAUGCCGCGUGUGUGAAGAAGGUCUUCGGAUUGUAAAGCACUUUAAGUUGGGAGGCGUUACCAACAGAAGAAGCACCGGCUAACUUCGUGCCAGCAGCCGCGGUAAUAC